GACGAACGCUGGCGGCGUGCUUAACACAUGCAAGUCGAACGGGCCUGUCUUCUUUUUUGGGGGGUGGGUUGAGUGGCGAACGGGUGAGUAUCACGUGAGUAACCUGCCCUUCGGUCCUGGAUAACCGCUUGAAAGGGCGGCUAAUACGGGGUGGUCCGGUUGGUCCGCAUGGGCUGGUCGGGAUAGAUUCACUGUUUUUGGUGUUUCGGCGGGGGAUGGGCUCGCGGCCUAUCAGCUUGUUGGUGGGGUGAUGGCCUACCAAGGCGGUGACGGGUAGCCGGCCUGCGAGGGUGGGCGGCCACACUGGGACUGAGAUACGGCCCAGACUCCUGCGGGAGGCAGCAGUGGGGGGUAUUGCACAAUGGGCGGAAGCCUGAUGCAGCGACGUCGCGUGAGGGAUGGAGGCCUUCGGGUUGUGAACCUCUGUUUCCGGUGGUGAAGGCCCUGUCCGUGUGGUGGGGUUGACGGUAGCCGGGGAUGAAGCGCCGGCUAACUACGUG
rnacentral:rRNA from 1 species